GUCUGAUGGAGCACGCCGCGUGAGUGAAGAAGGGUUUCGGCUCGUAAAACUCUGUUGUUAAAGAAGAACAUAUCUGAGAGUAACUGUUCAGAUAUUGACGGUAUUUAACCAGAAAGCCACGGCUAACUACGUGCCAGCAGCCGCGGUAAUACGUAGGUGGCAAGCGUUGUCCGGAUUUAUUGGGCGUAAAGCGAGCGCAGGCGGUUUUUUAAGUCUGAUGUGAAAGCCUUCGGCUCAACCGAAGAAGUGCAUCGGAAACUGGGAAACUUGAGUGCAGAAGAGGACAGUGGAACUCCAUGUGUAGCGGUGAAAUGCGUAGAUAUAUGGAAGAACACCAGUGGCGAAGGCGGCUGUCUGGUCUGUAACUGACGCUGAGGCUCGAAAGUAUGGGUAGCAAACAGGAUUAGAUACCCUGGUAGUCCAUACCGUAAACGAUGAAUGCUAAGUGUUGGAGGGUUUCCGCCCUUCAGUGCUGCAGCUAACGCAUUAAGCAUUCCGCCUGGGGAGUACGGCCGCAAGGCUGAAACUCAAAGGAAUUGACGGGGGCCCGCACAAGCGGUGGAGCAUGUGGUUUAAUUCGAAGCUACGCGAAGAACCUUACCAGGUCUUGACAUACUAUGCAAAUCUAAGAGAUUAGACGUUCCCUUCGGGGACAUGGAUACAGGUGGUGCAUGGUUGUCGUCAGCUCGUGUCGUGAGAUGUUGGGUUAAGUCCCGCAACGAGCGCAACCCUUAUUAUCAGUUGCCAGCAUUAAGUUGGGCACUCUGGUGAGACUGCCGGUGACAAACCGGAGGAAGGUGGGGAUGACGUCAAAUCAUCAUGCCCCUUAUGACCUGGGCUACACACGUGCUACAAUGGAUGGUACAACGAGUUGCGAACUCGCGAGAGUAAGCUAAUCUCUUAAAGCCAUUCUCAGUUCGGAUUGUACG
rnacentral:rRNA from 2 species